rnacentral:rRNA from 1 species
GGUCGGAUUCUGGCUCAGACGGAACGCUGGCGGGAUGCUUUACACAUGCAAGUCGAACAGCAGCACGGACUUCGGUCUGGUGGCGAGUGGCGAACGGGUGAGUAAUGUAUCGGAACGUGCCUAGUAAAGUGGGGAUAACUACGCGAAAGCGUGAAGCAUACCGUAUACGCCCUUCGGGGCGUUGUGGACCUCGGGGCCUCUGCACUAUUAGAGCGGCCGAUAUCGGAUUAGCUAGUUGGUGGGUAACGGCUCACCAAGGCGACGAUCCGUAGCUGGUUUGAGAGGACGACCAGCCACACUGGGACCGAGACACGGCCCAGACUCCUACGGGAGGCAGCAGUGGGGAAUUUUGACAAUGGGGGAACCCUGGAUCCAGCCAUCCCGCGUGUGCGAUGAAGGCCUUCGGGUUGUAAAGCACUUUUGGCAGGAAAGAAACGGCACGGGAUAACACCCCGUGCAACUUCGACGGUACCUGCAGAAUAAGCACCUCGGCUAACUACGUGCCAGCAGCCGCGGUAAUACGUAGGGUGCAAGCGUUAAUCGGAAUUACUGGGCGUAAAGCGUGCGCAGGCGGUUCGGAAAGAAAGAGCGAAAUCCCAGAGCUUAACUUUUAACUACUUUUUAAAUCACUGAGCUAGAGUGUGUCAGGGAAUUCCGCGUGUAGCAGGAAAUGCGUAGAUAUGCGGAGGAACACCGAUGGCGAAGGCAGCCUCCCUGGGAUAACACUGACGCUCAUGCACGAAAGCGUGGGGAGCAACAGAUUAGAUAUCAGUCCACGCCCUAAACGAUGUCAACUAGCCGUUGGGGCCUUCGGGUCCCGUUGGUAGCGCAGCUGACCGUGAAGGACCGUCGGGAGAAGUGGUCAAAGACAAACUCAAAGGAAUUGGAUGGGACCCGCACAAGCGGUGGAUGAUGUGGAUUAAUUCGAUGCAACGCGAAAACCCAUCACCUUGACAUGUCUGGAAUCCCGAAGAGAUUUGGGAGUGCUCGCAAGAGAACCGGAACACAGGUGCUGCAUGGCUGUCGUCAGCUCGUGUCGAGAUGUUGGGUUAAGUCCCGCAACGAGCGCAACCCUUGUCAUUAGUUGCUACGAAAGGGCACUCUAAUGAGACUGCCGGUGACAAACCGGAGGAAGGUGGGGAUGACGUCAAGUCCUCAUGGCCCUUUACGGGUAGGGCUUGGCCACUGUCAUAUAAUUACGGGAUGAGGGCUGCUAACCCGCGAGGGGAGCCAAUCCCAGAAACCCGAUCGGAGUCCGGAUCGCAGUCUGCAACUCGACUGCGUGAAGUCGGAAUCGCUAGUAAUCGCGGAUCAGCAUGUCGCGGUGAAUACGUUCCCUGGUCUGUACACACCGCCCGUCACACCAUGGGAGUGGGUUUUACCAGAAGUAGUUAGCCCAACCGUAAGGAGGGCGAUUACCACGGCAGGAUUCAUGAUUUAGUGAAGUCGUAACAAGGUAA